UUUUUUAUAUAGAAAUAUUGAACAAGGGCGGUUGCAACGCGAGACUAAGACAGAAAUGGCAGUAAUUUUAAGACUGCUGCAUGUUUCGACUUUACUAGCUGCAUGUUUAAUUUCUUUUUUAAAUAAACGUGUCUUAAGACUUCCCACACAAAAUAAAGAAAACAAAGUCACCUUUAUGAGCACUCACCCCCAACUUACCACCCUGAGAAACACCCUCCACCCCCUGCAAAAAUUUUUAGCAACACUUUCCCUCAACAAGUAGGCUUUCCCAGCCAUUAGGUCAUAUUUUUCAUACCAAUUUUGUAUUUUGGAAACCUGAUUUAAAGAAUUUUUGAAGGAAACAAUUUACUGUCAAAAAUAGUGAUAGCUACAGUGUGGUGGUUGCUGUGAUAAAAGAUAUAUUUAUGCUAUGUCUAUGACUUUGAUUAAUAAUCUUGCAAAAUACUAUGAAGCGUUUUCACGUAAUUUCCCUGUUUUAAUGAAAAGCUCCUAAAAUUUAAUUAUAUAUAUGUCCUUGUGAGAGUUUUACUUGUGUUUUGCUUUGUGUAGCUAUAUACCGGAUACUUUUGAUGGUAAAUUACUUGUAUCAAUUAAUAACUUAUCAAAGGGUAGGGGGUGUGCUGCGUGGAUAGGGGGUGUGCUGCGUUUAGCAACAUAAGCUAUAUAUUUUGUGCUUAGUUUUCCUAAUAUAAUUUUAAGCUCUCCUUUGUUGAUAGUUUGUCAUUUGUAGCUGUCCUUGUUCAUAUUUGUGUUAUAAGCUGUCCUUUCAACAGUUUGUGUCUUAAGAUGUAUUUGUUCACAGUUUGUGUUUUAGUUGUCUUGGUUGAAUGUGCGUAUUAGCUUUAAGUUGUCCUGGUGAACAGUUUUUUUAGUUAUUGUCUAAGCAGCUUUUAUCUCAUAAUCAUAAAGAAUAGAUUGCUUGGAAACACAACAGGUCCAAAUUGAAGAAUAUAGAUGGCAGAGUUUUUGAUCUACCUGCUGGUUCUAAAAUAUACAUAAACGAAAGCCUGUGUUCCUACUAUAAAAAUAUCUGGAACAAGUGCAAAAAACUAUGGCAACGGAAGCAGUUAAAGUCUUUCCGCGUAAGUAAUGGGACAGUUCAGAUUAAAAUUACUGAAUUUGGAGAUAUUACUCCAAUAACUGACAUCUAAGAUCUCAAAAACUUAUUCAAGGAAGUAGAUAUUGAAAUUAUCAAUAUCUACUUAAGUAAGUGAUAUUUUGGUAAUUGUAUAAACCCGUGACACGCCCCUUUUUUCGCGCCUUUUUUUUUCGCGCCUUUUUCCAGUUUUAUUGACUACCUGGUACAUUUUUGCCGUUUUGAAUUCCAACAAGUUCCUUCGCCUCAUCAUCAAUAAUGGCGUACUUGCUGCGACUUGUGUCUCAGUAUAUGAAUCUUCUUGUUUGCUUUGCAAUAUAAAUUUCUAUGAUCUUACUCUUUUUUUCUUUUGUCAGGUCCUUUGAUAUAUAGUUCAUUUUAGUUUUUCUAUUAUUGUACAUUAUGAUCUAUCCCAAGUGUAUAAUUAUGUGGUUUAGCUAGCUUUACCACUUUGUGUUUACAACUUUCUAGAAAGUUAGUCUGUGUCUCUUAACCUAACUAAAAGACACUGGUGUUAAAUUUCUAGAUAGAUUCUUUGUGUUAUUACUCUGCUCGUUUGUUUUGUUUUGUUGUUGUUUUUAGUUUUUUUUUAGUUUUGUCUUAAUUUUUAUAUUAUUAUUUUAUAUUAUAAGCUCCUAUAACCUAUAAAUGCCACAGUACCCUUGUGGUAUUUGUGGCAAUUCUGUAAGUUCUAAUCACAAAGCUGUACAAUGUGAUUAUUGUAACAAAUGGAUCCAUAAUCGUUGUAAUGGCCUUGCUAAUAGUGAUUAUAUCUCCCUACAAAAUUCCACUGAUUGUUGUGUUUAUAUAUAUAUAUUCUUGAAUCAAAAUUCAUUGUUUAUGUUAGUCCGUAAAAUGUAACUUGUCAUGUGUAGUGUUACCAUUUAUCGUUAUGCCUUGUUUAUUCAUUUCUUUACUCACUUGUCCAGUCCCGUGUCUCAUUGUCUCGUACGUCCCACUUGUAUUGUAUCAUUAUGUUUCAUCUUAGCUAUACGUAUUGUUUAAUUGUUAAUUGUUACUUGAUCGUGUCAUUAGGGAUUUCAUGUCAAUUACUUUAUAAUACGUUUUUUUUACAUUUUCAUUCAUUCCGUCAAAUCACAAAAACUGAGCAGUCACAAAAUAACUUUAUACAAAAAGCAUCAAACAAUUUGUUACACAUGUCAAACUUUCAAGAAACAUUUUAGCGUAAUUCAAUUUCAAGUCUAUCUGGUUUCACACUUGGGCAAUCUGGUACGAUUAUUUAAAAAUAUAUUUCAACUUAUUUUGUCAAACGUUUAUUAAAACUAAAUUUGUAUAUGUAUAUUUUUUAGUUUGAAUAACUUAACUUACCAUAUCAUCUCAGUUUUAAAAUUGUAUUCCGAGCAACCCGACCUUAAAACUGGAUAGACCCACAUUCAAACAGAACCAAUGUAAUCGAUGAGGAGGAGCAAAAGAUUGGACUACAAAACAUUAUCUGACACUGGCGAAAAAGUUACCAAAAUUACUACUACAACAGACUCGCAGAAUGAUAUCGAAAAUCUAAGCCUCUUGGUGGACAACUGGAAAUUGGAUGAAAAUAUGUCUGAAGAGGAAAAUAGGUCCCUGUUAAAGGACCACUUAGCUGUUGAAGAAUCUAUGCUAGUAAUGGAAAUUCAAGAUCUCUUCGAGGAAGAUAGUGUGAGUGAUUUAUAUCCAUCGAAUGAAAUAUAUGAAAAAGCUCUUUCGCAAGCACUAUCACUACGUGCUAAUUACAGACACAAGCAUGGAGAACUUCAAAAACACUUUGGAGAAGAUUAUGAAGGAAAGUAUGGAAAAUCGUUCACUCUUCAAUACAAAUCAAUCAGUGAAUAUAUUAAAGCGAUCAAGCAAAAGAAGAAAGAAUUACAGGUGGAAGAAGAGAAAGCCAUCCGAUUCUGCAAUGAAAGUUCAACAUUGUUUCUUAUCAAUGAAUCCGAUCGACUUAUUAAUGAUCUAAAGGAGAAAUUCCGCAUACCUGAAGAAGAAAGUGACAAAGCAAUCAAAAGGAGGUACGAUGAAUUAAUUUGUCAAGAGAAAAUAAUUCAAAAAAUAGGAGAGAAGAUCGAAAAAAUUUGUACUAAUACUCCUGAAAACUCACCUAUGAUAAGAGAUGUUAGAAAACUCAUGGACAGGUAUGAUAACCUUAAAUUUCUAAAGAGAGAGUAUAUUCAGAAAGUGGAACACGAGGUUAAUUCACGAGAAAUUGAGAAAGUUGAGUCAUUUAACACUUCUUCUUUAAAUAUCAAGCUUAUUAAAUUCAAGGACUAUAGCUCACCUCUUGAUAUCUACACAUUUCAAACUAUGUUUGAGAAACUCUACCUUAAAUCUACACCAAAACGCUUACUACCUGAUCUGUUAAGAAAUAAUUACCUUGAGAAUCCUGCUUUAAUGUUAGUUAGGAAUGUUGACGACAUUGAAGAGAUAUGGAAAAGACUCAUAGCAGCAUAUGGUGAUUGCAAAACCAUGCUAGCGAAAAAAUUACAUGAAGUGAGCAACAUGGAUUUAUUGUGGAAGCUAAGAGACCCGGAAAAGGUUACAAACGGAAUAGCGAAAAUUAUUACAGUCAUGAAGGAUCUGCUCUCAUUAUGCAAAAAGCAUGGUUUGGAAAAUAAUCUUUUCUAUGGAGAUGCACUAGAAAGAAUUUAUAAGCUGCUAGGAGAUAGUAGAGUAACAAGAUGGCUCGCGACAGAAUGUGAGGAAGAUGGUGAAAAUUUAUGGAAUAAAUUGAUUGAUUUUUUGGAAAAAGAUAUGAGAAUCUACCAACAAAAGAUACUGUUACUAGGAAAAGAAAGAAAACCUCCACAAGUCAAAGAAUCAAACUACUUCAAUAACAAUGACUUCGAUGACAAGGUAAUAUCAAAUUUGUCUUGUUUUAUAUGUGGAGAAAGAAAUCAUGUAGCUACUAAUGGACCUUCUGGAUCCAUGUUGAUACAGUACUUUGCCUGUAAGAAAUUUGUCGAUAUGUCACCCGCAGAUAGAUUUACUGUUUUAAGAAGAAAUGGUCUUUGCUUUCAGUGUCUAUUUCCAGGAGCUAAACAAAAGCAAGGAAAACAUCGAGAGGGGAAAUGCCAGAGAGAUUUCACAUGUAAACAUCAAUCACAUGACAAAUAUCCAUCUAAAAUGCACGUGUUGGUAUGUGAGGAGCACAAAGACACACCUGAGAAUAGGGACUUGCUUCAACACUAUAAGCAGAGAUGCAUCCUACGACAACGAUUUGAGCUUCCAGAUUUUUCAAAAAAUAUUCAACUGACCUUUCACUCCACAGCACACGGAAAUAAUGUUCAGUCAGAUGCAGUUGACGAAAGUGCAAUAUAUAUGCUUCAAACAAUAAAGGUAAAUGAUGAACCUUUUACCAUAUUUUAUGAUAGUGGAUGUGGAGAUUUCGUUUCUAGAUUUGAUGCUGUGAAGAGACUCAGAGAAAAUGCUACAAAAGAAGUUAAUGGACCAAUUAAGAUAGGUGGUGUUGGAGGUGUGAUGACAGAAUCACCAUUUGGAAUCUAUUCUGUUAAAUUACCCUUGAUAAAUGGGAAUGAUGCAAUUAUGACAGGAGUUUGUCUUCAACAGAUAACACCAGAGUUUCCUGAUUUUCCAUUGCAAGGAAAGGUGGAGACAGAUAUCAGUAAUGAAUACCGCAAAAAUCGAGGUAAUGUAAAUUAUUUACCUAAGUUACCAUCUUCAGUGGGCGGCCAUGUUGAUUUUAUGAUAGGCAUAAAAUACUUACGUUACUUCCCCGAAAAAGUCUUUCAAUUGCCAUCUGGUCUUACCAUAUAUAAGUCCUGCUUUAAGAACAGUGAUGGAAGUACAGGAGUCAUUGGUGGGCCUCAUCAAGUCUUCACUGAAAUAGAAAGGUACCAUCAUCUUAGCAAAACAUCCAAUUUUGUGGCCAUGCAAUACCCAUUAUUCAAAAACGGAUACCAAGUCAAUCCAGAUAUUUCUAUUAUUGGAUAUAAAAACCAUUCUUAUCAGUUUGAUUUAGAUUACGAUGAAAAAGAAGAUAAAAAUGACAAAGAAGUCAUGAUAUGCAACCGUCAACUCAAAAGUUUUGAGAAGGUAGAACACGCUGGAACCGAAAUCACUUACAGAUGUGUGCAAUGCAGAGACUGCAAAGUAUGUAAAAUGCAUGAUCGAGAUGACACUAUCAGCAUCAGAGAAGAAGUGGAACAGGAGAUGAUCGAAAAAUCAGUCACAUUAGAUAAAAUCAAUAAUUCAACUGUGGCAAGACUGCCAAUGACACACAAUCCAAUCGUCAAAUUGUGUCCAAACAAAUUCAAAGCAUUAAAGGUAUUCAAUCAACAAAUGAAAAAAUUAGCCAACACCCAGAAGGAUAAAGAUGACGUAAUCAAAUCAGAGAUGAAGCUGCACACUCUAGGCCACGUCGAAUAUGUCACAAAUCUUCCAAGAUCAAUUCAAAAAUCACUUGAAGAAGCUCAAAUUCAAAACUAUAUACCUUGGCGAACUGUUUGGAAAGUCAACUCGGUCACCACUCUUUGCCGCAUGGUAUUCGAUGCGUCUCAGCCUACUGAUACAGGUUUUAGUCUCAAUGAUAUCUUGGCAAAAGGGAGAAACAACAUGAACAAACUCGUAGAAAUAUUCAUCCGAUGGCGAAUUUACAAAUACGGAUUUCAUACUGACAUUCAGAAAAUGUAUAAUUCUGUAAAACUACAUCAAGAUGACUGGUGCUUUCAAAGAUAUCUCUGGAAGGAGAAUUUGGAUGACUCAAAACCACUCCAACAAAAAAUCAUCAAAACUUUGAUCUAUGGCGUCCGGUCUAGUGGUAAUCAAGCUGAAACUGGCUUAAAGAAAACAGCCAUGUUGUCCAAAGAAGAAUUUCCAGAAAUCAAGGAGAUCGUGUUUAGAGAUAUCUAUGUAGAUGAUUGUUUGUCUGGUGAACAUACUAAAGAAAAGUCAUUGGAAAGAGCAGAUCAAUUAGAACUGGUCUUAAAUCGCGGAGGCUUUAAGUUAAAAGGAGUAACGUUUUCUGGUUCAGAUCCUCACAAUUCGUUAUCAGAUGAUGGCAUCACAAUUUGUGUCGCUGGCUUACUAUGGCAUCCAAAAGACGAUUUAAUAUCGCUUGACAUAAAAGUUAUUAACUUUGCGAGAAAACAUAGAGGAAGAAAAACAGUUCAAAUCACAUCAAUACCAUCAACAUUAACCAGACGACAUUGUGCAUCAAAAGUCGCAGAGGUAUUUGAUCUCACAGGGAUGUUAACACCUAUCAUUGCUGGAAUGAAGCUUGAUUUACAUGAUUUGGUUGUCAAAAGGCUUAACUGGGAUGAUGCAAUACCAGAUAAUUUACGCCAGUUAUGGAUAUCACACUUUGAGAUGAUAUCAGAGAUGAAGAACCUGAAAUUCGAUCGAGCAAUCAUACCAGAAGACGCCCUAAGUCUAGACGUGGAAACACUUGCAUUUGGCGAUGCAAGUAAGUGUUUAAUUUGCAUUGCAAUUUAUGUGAGAUUUAAACGGAAAUGUGGAGGUUACUCUUGCCAAUUAGUUUUGUCAAAGUCAAGAUUAGUUCCUGAAGGUCUGUCCUUACCAAGAGCAGAGUUGUACGCCUCAUUAGUUAAUACUCAUUCAUCAGAGGUGGUAAGAAAAGCAUUUUACCAAUAUUAUAAAAGCAGCGUGAAAUUUACCGAUUCGCAAAUUGUCCUGUUUUGGAUUUGUAAUAAUAAUCGAUCUCUGAAACAAUGGGUGAGAAACCGUGUCAUUGACAUUCAAAGAUUUACCACGAUAGAAGAUUGGAGAUACAUCCAAUCAGAAAACAUGAUUGCAGAUCUUGGCACAAGAAGAGGUGUUAGCCUGAAAGAUGUUGACAAAGAUUCAAGAUGGUGCAACGGAUAUGACUGGAUGAGGUAUGAAAUUAGUCAAUUCCCAUGCAAAAGUAUCAAAGAUAUUACUCUUACCAAUUCUCAACAAGAGGAAAUAAGAAAAGAAAGUCCUUUUGAUUUUGACGGAUUAUCUUAUGUGCAGAGGAAAAUCCCCGAUGAAGUUUUUAAAAGAAGAGCAUUUUCUAAUUAUAUUAUCGAUCCCAACAAAUACCGUUUUAAAACCGUGAUUCGUAUACUAGCCAUUGUUUUCAAAUUUGUAUUUAAUGUGCGUAAAAGUAUUAUCAGUCAUAGACAAUCAUCAUUGCAAUCAAUAAAGAAACAACCGAUUACCACAAAAUCCACUCUGCUACUGUUAGAUGACGACAUUCGAAAAGCUGAGAAAUAUUUCUUCAGAAAAGCUGCUCUUGAAAUCCAGCAUUUUCUACCACGAAAACAGUACGAGAAAUUCACCAAGGAAAAGGAUGGCAUCCUGUAUUAUACUGGCCGUAUCUUGCCAACUGAAGAGAUAACUAUCGUGGGAAAGAUGACAGAAGCAAUGAAAGAUCUGUCAGCCAGCACAUUUUGUGUACCUGUGGUUGAUAGAUACUCCCCGUUAGCAUAUUGCAUAAUUAAUGAAGUUCACUGGUACAACAGCACAGUAAGGCACUCUGGUGUAGAAUCUGUAUGGAGAUUUGUGCUUAAGAAAGCAUUUAUAAUCGAAGGAAGAAGUAUUGUUAAAUGGAUUAGAGAAUCCUGUCAAAGGUGUCGUUAUCUUCAAAGGAAAAAUAUUGAAGUAGCAAUGGGACCAAUAUCAAGGUAUAAUGUUACUAUUGCACCAUGCUUUUAUAUUUCUCAAGUUGAUCUGUGUGGACCGUUUAGAGCAUACUCACAUCAUCACAAAAGAGCAACUAUCAAAAUUUGGUUGGUCGUGUUUUGCUGCAACACAACUUCUUGUACAGCAAUUAAGACAAUGGAGGAUUAUUCAUCAACUGCAUUUAUUCAAGCGUUUGUGCGAUUUUCUUGUGAAAAUGGCUAUCCAAAAUUGUUGCUAUCCGACGAAGGAAGUCAAAUUGUGAAAGCAUUUCACUCAAUGGAGCUUAAUUAUGUUGACAUCAAACACAACUUACACAAGGAUGUAUCAGUUGAAUAUGAAUUGUGCCCAGUAGGAGGUCAUAACAUUAAUGGCAGAGUAGAGAGAAAGAUAAGAGAAGUGAAAAAGUCGCUAGAAAUUUCGUUGACCAAUAGAAGAUUAUCUAUCAUGCAAUGGGAGACGAUUUCAGCAGAGAUUGCUAACAACAUCAACAAUUUACCACUAGCUUUGGGUAACAUAGUUUCCAGCUUUGAAUCUAUGGAUCUUCUUACACCAAAUCGUCUGAGGUUGGGUAGAAAUAAUGAGAGGAGUCCCGUUGGAAGUAUGAUUGUGACAAAUGAUCCAGAUCGAGUAUUUAAAGCAAAUCAAGAAGUGUUCAAUGCUUGGUUUGAAAAUUGGCUCCUGAGUCAUGUACCGAAAUUAAUGGCUCAACCAAAAUGGUAUAAAUCAGAUAAAAGUAUUCAAAAGGGUGAUAUUGUAUUGUUUCUGAAACAAGAUACCCCGUUAUGUUCAAAUUAUCAGUACGGUAUUGUCGAAGCAGUCGUGAUGGAUAAAGACGAAAAGAUACGUAAAGUCGAAAUUCGUUAUCGUAACCAUAAUGAAAAGGUCAAUCGAAUUACUCGUCGUGCAGUUCGUAGUUUGGUUGUAAUUCACCAUGUUGAUGAAUUAGAUAUAAUGGACGAACUUUCCAUGUUUCAACAAUGAAUGUUUGAUACUUCCGCUGGUGGAGUGUUGUGUUUAUAUAUAUAUAUUCUUGAAUCAAAAUUCAUUGUUUAUGUUAGUCCGUAAAAUGUAACUUGUCAUGUGUAGUGUUACCAUUUAUCGUUAUGCCUUGUUUAUUCAUUUCUUUACUCACUUGUCCAGUCCCGUGUCUCAUUGUCUCGUACGUCCCACUUGUAUUGUAUCAUUAUGUUUCAUCUUAGCUAUACGUAUUGUUUAAUUGUUAAUUGUUACUUGAUCGUGUCAUUAGGGAUUUCAUGUCAAUUACUUUAUAAUACGUUUUUUUUACAUUUUCAUUCAUUCCGUCAAAUCACAAAAACUGAGCAGUCACAAAAUAACUUUAUACAAAAAGCAUCAAACAAUUUGUUACACACGUCAAACUUUCAAGAAACAUUUUAGCGUAAUUCAAUUUCAAGUCUAUCUGGUUUCACACUUGGGCAAUCUGUUUGAAUAACUUAACUUACCAUAUCAUCUCAGUUUUAAAAUUGUAUUCCGAGCAACCCGACCUUAAAACUGGAUAGACCCACACUGAUGAUUGACACUGUAUCGAAUGUUGUCCCAAAAUUUUUCCUUUACUACGUGAAGAUGCCCCUUCUAAUAUUGACAAAAGUAUCCCAUCUC